GACGAACGCUGGCGGCGUGCUUAACACAUGCAAGUCGAACGGAAAGGCCCUGCUUUUGUGUGGUGCUCGCGUGGCGAACGGGUGAGUAACACGUGAGUAACCUGCCCUUGACUUUGGGAUAACUUCAGGAAACUGGGGCUAAUACCGGAUAGGAGCUCCUGCUGCAUGGUGGGGGUUGGAAAGUUUCGGCGGUUGGGGAUGGACUGGGGGCUUAGCAGCUUGUUGGUGGGGGAGUGGCUUACCAAGGCUUUGACGGGUAGCCGGCACGAGAGGGUGCACAGCCACCUUGGGACUAGGGUACGGCCCAGAGUCCUACAGGAGGCAGCAGUCGGGAAUAUUGCACAAUGAGCCGACGUCUGAUGCAGCAGCGCCGCGUGCGGGAUGCCGGCCAUCGGGUUGUAAACCGCUUUCGCCUGUGACGAAGCGUGAUUGACGGUAAUGGGUAAAGAAGCACCGGCUAACUACGUG
rnacentral:rRNA from 1 species